UACAGAGGUCUCAAGCGUUGUUCGGAAUCACUGGGCGUAAAGGGUGCGUAGGCUGUUUUGUAAGUUGGAUGUGAAAUGCCGGGGCUCAACUCCGGAACUGCAUCUGAAACUGCAAGACUUGAACAAUGGAGGGGAAACCGGAAUUCUCGGUGUAGCAGUGAAAUGCGUAGAUAUCGAGAAGAAGACUUGUGGCGAAGGCGGGUUUCUGGACAUAUGUUGACGCUGAGGCACGAAGGCCAGGGGAGCGAAAGGG
rnacentral:rRNA from 1 species